rnacentral:rRNA from 1 species
UACGUAGGGUGCGAGCGUUGUCCGGAAUUAUUGGGCGUAAAGAGCUUGUAGGCGGUCUGUCGCGUCUGCUGUGAAAAUCCGGGGCUCAACCCCGGACUUGCAGUGGGUACGGGCAGACUAGAGUGUGGUAGGGGAGACUGGAAUUCCUGGUGUAGCGGUGAAAUGCGCAGAUAUCAGGAGGAACACCGAUGGCGAAGGCAGGUCUCUGGGCCACUACUGACGCUGAGGAGCGAAAGCAUGGGGAGCGAACAGG